rnacentral:rRNA from 1 species
GAUGAACGCUAGCUACAGGCUUAACACAUGCAAGUCGAGGGGAAACGGCAUUAAGUGCUUGCACUUUUUGGACGUCGACCGGCGCACGGGUGAGUAACGCGUAUCCAACCUUCCCAUGACUAAGGGAUAACCUGCCGAAAGGCAGACUAAUACCUUAUGGUCUUCACUGACGGCAUCAGAUGUGAAGUAAAGAUUUAUCGGUUAUGGAUGGGGAUGCGUCUGAUUAGCUUGUUGGCGGGGUAACGGCCCACCAAGGCGACGAUCAGUAGGGGUUCUGAGAGGAAGGUCCCCCACAUUGGAACUGAGACACGGUCCAAACUCCUACGGGAGGCAGCAGUGAGGAAUAUUGGUCAAUGGGCGAGAGCCUGAACCAGCCAAGUAGCGUGCAGGAUGACGGCCCUAUGGGUUGUAAACUGCUUUUGUAUGGGGAUAAAGUCAGUCACGUGUGAUUGUUUGCAGGUACCAUACGAAUAAGGACCGGCUAAUUCCGUGCCAGCAGCCGCGGUAAUACGGAAGGUCCGGGCGUUAUCCGGAUUUAUUGGGUUUAAAGGGAGCGUAGGCUGGAGAUUAAGUGUGUUGUGAAAUGUAGACGCUCAACGUCUGACUUGCAGCGCAUACUGGUUUCCUUGAGUACGCACAACGUUGGCGGAAUUCGUCGUGUAGCGGUGAAAUGCUUAGAUAUGACGAAGAACUCCGAUUGCGAAGGCAGCUGACGGGAGCGCAACUGACGCUGAAGCUCGAAGGUGCGGGUAUCGAACAGGAUUAGAUACCCUGGUAGUCCGCACAGUAAACGAUGGAUGCCCGCUGUUGGUACCUGGUAUCAGCGGCUAAGCGAAAGCAUUAAGCAUCCC